rnacentral:rRNA from 1 species
GUCCACGCCGUAAACGGUGGGCACUAGGUGUGGGGACCGAUUCCACGGUCUCUGCGCCGCAGCUAACGCAUUAAGUGCCCCGCCUGGGGAGUACGGCCGCAAGGCUAAAAACUCAAAGGAAUUGACGGGGGCCCGCACAAGCGGCGGAGCAUGCGGCUUAAUUCGGAUGCAACGCGAAGAACCUUACCUAGGCUUGACAUGCAGGGAAAACUGGCAGAGAUGUCAGGUCCUUAGGGCCUUGCACAGGUGUGCAUGGCUGUCGU